rnacentral:rRNA from 2 species
UUGAAAGAUGGUUUCGGCUAUCACUUUAGGAUGGACCCGCGGUGCAUUAGUUAGUUGGUGAGGUAAAGGCUCACCAAGACCGUGAUGCAUAGCCGACCUGAGAGGGUAAUCGGCCACACUGGGACUGAGACACGGCCCAGACUCCUACGGGAGGCAGCAGUAGGGAAUCUUCCACAAUGGACGAAAGUCUGAUGGAGCAACGCCGCGUGAGUGAAGAAGGUUUUCGGAUCGUAAAACUCUGUUGUUGGAGAAGAAUGUAUCUGAUAGUAACUGAUCAGGUAGUGACGGUAUCCAACCAGAAAGCCACGGCUAACUACGUGCCAGCAGCCGCGGUAAUACGUAGGUGGCAAGCGUUGUCCGGAUUUAUUGGGCGUAAAGCGAGCGCAGGCGGUUUCUUAAGUCUGAUGUGAAAGCCUUCGGCUCAACCGAAGAAGUGCAUCGGAAACUGGGAAACUUGAGUGCAGAAGAGGACAGUGGAACUCCAUGUGUAGCGGUGAAAUGCGUAGAUAUAUGGAAGAACACCAGUGGCGAAGGCGGCUGUCUGGUCUGUAACUGACGCUGAGGCUCGAAAGCAUGGGUAGCAAACAGGAUUAGAUACCCUGGUAGUCCAUGCCGUAAACGAUGAGUGCUAGGUGUUGGAGGGUUUCCGCCCUUCAGUGCCGCAGCUAACGCAUUAAGCACUCCGCCUGGGGAGUACGACCGCAAGGUUGAAACUCAAAGGAAUUGACGGGGGCCCGCACAAGCGGUGGAGCAUGUGGUUUAAUUCGAAGCAACGCGAAGAACCUUACCAGGUCUUGACAUCCUUUGACCACUCUAGAGAUAGAGCUUUCCCUUCGGGGACAAAGUGACAGGUGGUGCAUGGUUGUCGUCAGCUCGUGUCGUGAGAUGUUGGGUUAAGUCCCGCAACGAGCGCAACCCUUAUUACUAGUUGCCAGCAUUUAGUUGGGCACUCUAGUGAGACUGCCGGUGACAAACCGGAGGAAGGUGGGGACGACGUCAAAUCAUCAUGCCCCUUAUGACCUGGGCUACACACGUGCUACAAUGGAUGGUACAACGAGUUGCGAGACCGCGAGGUUUAGCUAAUCUCUUAAAACCAUUCUCAGUUCGGAUUGUAGGCUGCAACUCGCCUACAUGAAGCCGGAAUCGCUAGUAAUCGCGGAUCAGCAUGCCGCGGUGAAUACGUUCCCGGGCCUUGUACACACCGCCCGUCACACCAUGAGAGUUUGUAACACCCAAAGCCGGUGAGGUAACCCUUCGGGGAGCCAGCCGUCUAAGGUGGGACAGAUGAUUAGGGUGAAGUCGUAACAAGGUAGCCGUAGGAGAACCUGCGGCUGGAUCACCUCCUUUCUA